rnacentral:rRNA from 1 species
UGCGUAGGCGGAAAAUUAAGUCAGUAGUGAAAUCCUGCAGCUUAACCGUAGAACUGUUAUUGAUACUGGUUUUCUUGAAUAUAGUUGAGGUAGGCGGAAUGUGUAAUGUAGCGGUGAAAUGCUUAGAUAUUACACAGAACACCGAUUGCGAAGGCAGCUUACUAAGCUAUGAUUGACGCUGAGGUACGAAAGCGUGGGGAGCGAACAGGAUUAGAUACCCUGGUAGUCC